rnacentral:rRNA from 1 species
AUGGCGACACACAAGUCUACUCUGACUUCUACAUCAACACCCUUCCCUCAACAUCGUCCAAGCUCCGACGAGGCGAAGCCACUUCACCGACAUGUCUUUCUUUUGAUGAAGCUACCCAUAUCUUGCCGGGCACUGACGAGGCGAAGGCAAUCCACCAUGUCCGACACUGACGAGGCGGACACCACCAGGCCGGGCACCGACGAGGCAAAGGCCGCCUAUCUGUCUGAGCUGACGAGGCCAGACAUCUUCAUCAUCGGACAUCGACAAGCUGGAGGGAUACAGCUAAGCAUCGCCGGAGCGAUGGACGUACCGCUCCACUCUUCUAUUCCACCACAUCAUCACCAUCGUUUACACCGAGCACUUGGAGAGGACGAGACUUGA